GUCCACAGCCAUGCCACCCUGAACAAGCCGGAUCCUGUCUCAUCUCAGAAGCUAAGCAGGGUUAGUACUAACCAAGCUAAGCCUGGUUAGUACUUGGAUGGGAGACCACAUAGGAAGAUCAGCUGCUAUAAGCA
rnacentral:rRNA from 1 species